rnacentral:rRNA from 1 species
UGAACGCUGGCGGCGUGCCUACUACAUGCAAGUCGAGCGAACGGACGAGAAGCUUGCUUCUCUGAUGUUAGCGGCGGACGGGUGAGUAACACGUGGAUAACCUACCUAUAAGACUGGGAUAACUUCGGGAAACCGGAGCUAAUACCGGAUAAUAUUUUGAACCGCAUGGUUCAAAAGUGAAAGACGGUCUUGCUGUCACUUAUAGAUGGAUCCGCGCUGCAUUAGCUAGUUGGUAAGGUAACGGCUUACCAAGGCAACGAUGCAUAGCCGACCUGAGAGGGUGAUCGGCCACACUGGAACUGAGACACGGUCCAGACUCCUACGGGAGGCAGCAGUAGGGAAUCUUCCGCAAUGGGCGAAAGCCUGACGGAGCAACGCCGCGUGAGUGAUGAAGGUCUUCGGAUCGUAAAACUCUGUUAUUAGGGAAGAACAUAUGUGUAAGUAACUGUGCACAUCUUGACGGUACCUAAUCAGAACGCCACGGCUAACUACGUG